AAAGCACUUGUAUCUCAUAUGGCAUUAUGGCUAAUAUGGCUAGCGAUGGCAUCGGUCGUGGACUUUCUCACAUCAUUUUUAUGACUACAAGCCUCCAAAAAUCCCUGCCUCGUCGGACCUCCAAAUGGGUUACGACUGCCAAAGGAGCCUCCAUCAAUGGACCCGUAUGACAUUCUGCCUGAUGCACUUAUCCCAUCCAACAGACAGAGCUACAGUGAGUGAAAUCAACCAGUCAGAAUAUGACCACUCAACACAGAGGAUGCUAAAGUGUACCAUCACUCAGCAUACUGUAUUUUUAAUAAAACCACAUUUUGAGAGCAUCUUUUUCCUCAGUGUGAUGCAUUUCGUGAUAUUACAGGACAUUGGAAUGAGAUUUGGUGUGGGCACAGAUCAUUCAGAAGUGUAAUGAGGGAGAGAGAGACAUUCAGCUUUUUGGCUUAUAUUGUCAAACAGGAGAACGUCAUGGCAGAAAGAGCAGAAAAAAUCGUUUUUCAUUUCAGCGUGAAUUUAAU